rfam:Biomphalaria glabrata isolate BB02 unplaced genomic scaffold LGTN_random_Scaffold481, whole genome shotgun sequence.
GGCUUGGUAGCUGAGUGGUAAAGCGCUUGGCUUCCAAAACCGGGGAUCCGGGUUCAAAUCUCGACGAAGACU